AUGCCCCUAUUCGUGGAAGGCCGUAGUAGCGGCUAACAUAGACAAAGAUUCUUUCAAUCAAAAAGGAAGCAACGCCUGAAAAUCGGACACGUAAUUCAUGGCGCAAAUGUCAAAAGUUUCUUACAAAACCUAUCCCCCUUUCUCCCUCUCUCUCGUUUUCAGUUGCCGCCGUUUCAGCCAUUUAUGUAUAUGAUAUCGCCAAUCCAACAAUCACCAUCUUCUUCCUUCGGAAAGGAUGCCGGCCGCCGGAAAAAGCAUCCACAAAGCUACUCCAGUCGCCGAUUCGUAAUUUUAGUUGAUGAUCGGUGGAAUCGAUCUCGAUCGAGUUGAAUUAGUGCUCUAUUCGGAAGAUUUCGAGUUGAGGAGGAAGUAUUUAUCGAUUAUUGUUCGAAUUUGAUCGAGUUGUGUUGAAUUAGAGCUCUGUUUCGAAGAAUUCGCGCUUGUGAUUUCGAGUUGGAGCGGCCCUUGUACCGUUUCCGCCUACUUUGCUGCUUGGUUGCGAAGAAAAUCACUCGCAGAAAACGAGACCAAAUUCGACAGAGAAACAAUGGAGAACGCAGCUGUAUAGUGGAGACUGUAUUGCAACGUUUCAACGUUGUGCCCUAGCGUUGCAAUGCUGCAAUGAAGAACAACGUUGUGUUCUUUCCAUAGCGUUGCAACGCUGUCAAAUCGAUUCUUGUCUGAUUUGGUUUGUGGCUCAUUUGGUUCGCUUGCAGUUCAGUCAGUUCGAGCGGUUCAGGUCCGGUUCGAAGGCUGAAUGGUUCGGUUUUGAGUGGUUCAAGGCUUGAUUCGCUUAUUUUGAACCGGUUGAUUAUUAGUUUAAUUAGUUGUUUAAGUGUCCAAUAUCGGUCCAAUAAUUUUUUUUUUAUUAAUUAUGCAUUUGAUGUAUGAUUUUAAUUCAAAAUAUAUAUGUCAUAUUGUAUGUCAU